GAGUUUGAUCCUGGCUCAGAUUGAACGCUGGCGGCAGGCCUAACACAUGCAAGUCGAGCGGAUGACGGGAGCUUGCUCCUUGAUUCAGCGGCGGACGGGUGAGUAAUGCCUAGGAAUCUGCCUGGUAGUGGGGGACAACGUUUCGAAAGGAACGCUAAUACCGCAUACGUCCUACGGGAGAAAGCAGGGGACCUUCGGGCCUUGCGCUAUCAGAUGAGCCUAGGUCGGAUUAGCUAGUUGGUGGGGUAAUGGCUCACCAAGGCGACGAUCCGUAACUGGUCUGAGAGGAUGAUCAGUCACACUGGAACUGAGACACGGUCCAGACUCCUACGGGAGGCAGCAGUGGGGAAUAUUGGACAAUGGGCGAAAGCCUGAUCCAGCCAUGCCGCGUGUGUGAAGAAGGUCUUCGGAUUGUAAAGCACUUUAAGUUGGGAGGAAGGGCAGUAAGUUAAUACCUUGCUUGUUUGACGUUACCGACAGAAUAAGCACCGGCUAACUC
rnacentral:rRNA from 1 species